AGGAGGAGUGCGGACCAACCGUUGAUCGGAGCAGCCAGUGAGGAUUGGACGAGACGGGGUGAAUGCAGCCACAAAGAGGGGACAGCAUCCUGUGUCCUAUAUGUGCCGGUCCCAAGCCCAGAUAAAUGCAAAGGGUUGUGUCAGGAAGCGCAUACGGCCUAAAGCUUUUGCCACAUCAACCAUGAAGAAGCAUUUCUCCUGUCCAAAGUACUCUCUCUGGUUUCCAGUUCUCUGGCUCCUCGUUCUCAGGAAACCCUUGGUGGUUCCACCUCUGACUUCCUUCCAGAAAGUCUACUUACACCUCCUCUAGUUGCUCCCUCCGGGAUCUGCUGCCCAGACCUCAACACAAACCCACCAUCCCCCUCCAACAAUCAACUGUUGCCUGUGCAGUUCCUCCUGGAACAAAGAAAAAUAAAACAUCAUCAGAAACCACUCCACACACAUUCAACCUGUCAACAUCAACUCCUGUGCAUAUACCCAUCUUCUCCCCCUGGAUCCUCACCAACUCUGUCAACAGUAAGCCUCCACCCAAAUCUCAAACUCAUCACAAAAUCCAAAAACAUUUUCUUGUAAUAGCCACUUACUUCUCCUUAGUGUUGUCCUGGAACCUGCUCCCAAGCCUGGAAUAAACAUUCACCUUUCUUGAGUCAAUAAACCAUUUUAACCAUCUUCAUUUGUGAGUAGUUGUUGCUUACACCACGGUCUCAAUGAGACCACAUUAAAUGGCCAUUGAGACCCUGUGGCGCAACUACAGGCCAACCUUUCCAAACAGGGCAUUCUCCUCGGUCACCUUGAUUCUCAUCUCAGGACAUUAAUCAAACAACACAAUUCUGUUGCCCCGUCUUUGGAUACUUUAAACCAACAAAUUCAACAAUUAUACCACGGGAUUCCUGUACUAACUCCACCUUUUCUGACUCAGUCAUCCCAUCCAUCCACACUCAUCUGCAGUCUUGUUUCCGCAUAUGGAAUCAUAACAAGGCAGCCCUCCAGAGAACUCUUCAGAGGAAGAUUGCCAGCAGGCUCUAAUAUACACUCCUGGUCAACUCUGGCUGUCAGCCAAGGAUUUCCCAAUAAAAUCAUUCACCCGCAAACUCUACCUCAGGUUUCUGGGACCAUUCACCCUCGACUUUGUCAUCACUCCAUCCACAGUCAGGUUCAAUCUCCCUUCUCAGCUUUGAGUUCACCCUGUCAUUCAAGUUUCCCAAACUUAGUUGCCUCCAGCUCUUUGAGCCCUCUGGCCGAACCCCCUUCACCUGGCCAGGAAAUCCUGCCUUCUUCCUGCAAACUGUGUGUGUAGGAUUAUCGACGCUCAAUGUUGUGAUAGGUGUAACACUCUAAACGGGAGGUGACGACAAAUAUUACCCUACACGGAUUAAUGUUUCAGCUGGGCCAUGGGCCAGUAGGUUCACUGCUGAAGCAAGACAGAAUCUUGUAGUAAGACUCAGAUGCAAUGAUUUAAAUUAACAAGAAAUGCUGACUUUAGUGUUUGUUUGAGUGUUUAAAAUGAACACACAUACAAAAGAAAUGUAAAAAAAUAAAACUGUUUCAUCAGACAAAAUCAAUUGAAUGGAUAUUACAAGAAAUUCAGAGGUAGGCAUCAACUUAGCCAAAUGUAAAUCCCAUUCCAGGUGCUUCCUUAUAAACUGAAUUAGUUUCAUCUCAGAUUCAAGUUAUUUCAGUCAAGUUCAACAAUUCACAGUAACCCAAUACUGCACUUCACUUGAGAUCACAAACAACACAACACUCAGCUAUGAAGAAUGUCCCACAAUGCAACCAUGGACUUACACUUCCAGGUAAAGGGAUUAUUGCAGGUAACGUAAAGUCCAAUGUGGGAAAAGAAAUAUAGAAUAAUAAUCUGAGUUCAAUACUUCAAUACUUCAGGGGCAAAUGGGGAAAUUAAAAAAACAAAACCUGAGAGACACAAGGUGGAAAAAGUAAUUCAGGGCUGAAUAUGAGGGUGUCUGCAGAAACUGAGCCUACAACACCGAAGAUUGUCACAGAACUGAACGUUGUCGACAGGUGUUUGGGUCUCCUUCUCUCUCUAGAUCCAAGAGCGAAGGCUCACCGUCAUGUUCUCUGCAAGGCCAAAUCAGCAAAAAGGACUAGCAAAGUAACAGAAACAACAACGGGGAAAUAUAAACUGACCUUUUGACAGACAGCAUCAGAUAAAUCCUAUCAGUGCAGAUUCUUUUAGAACUCUCAAAUAAAAUUACACACAGUGCAAGUAAAAAAAAAAAUGGACUGUUUAGCUUAAGGUAAUAAGCAACCACUUUGUUCACAAAAGCAAAAAUAUUGUUCUUCGUUUUGGUUACCCAUAGUGGUAUGUAUAAUAUUCUCACCUCUUAUAGUCACAAGUUUAGUGUAUUUUGUAACAGUACAUUCCUGUCCCCAUAACACUAUUUUUUUCUCUUUAAAGAGCAUACAUUACGACCUUGAAUUCAGGAAUGUUUCUUGUUAAAUAAGGAGUGAAACAGUCAGGUCAAAUGAAAUGGGAAAUGGAAAAACAAAAGAAAGUUGAAGUAAGUGUUGGGAGUUUCAAGCAAGAUGGUACUAUUAUUUCUGCUGUGGUAUCGUGGUGUGAAUUUGCCAGAGACAUUUGUCUGAAGUAAUAGCUUUGUCAGUUAUGUCAUUGACUCACCAUGGGAGACAGUCAAGGAGGGAUUACAUUUUUGGGUACUCUAUCAUUACAAUUUGAGAACUGCUGACUUGAAUAUUAUCUCCCAAUAGGAAAGAAUGCUUCCAAACCCACCCACCGAGUUAACUGUGAAUAUUUCUCAAAAAAAGGAUGAGACAUAAACGAAAACAAACAAUUAGUCGGUGCACACAUGCACAAGAGGUUUUCAUAAACACACCAGCAAACAGACACAAAAUAUAUUACAAUACAAAUUUUUGAAACUUUUAAAGUACUUGUUUUUUUACUGUCUUUCCUUUAGAUUGUCUUUGAUAAUUUAUCUACUGUUGAGCUUGUCACAGAGUGACAUUUUUGGACUUUGUUUGUGGCUUUGUGUUUGUUUACCUUCUGCUUAGAUGUUUCUAUUUUGGUUUUUGUAUCAUG